rnacentral:rRNA from 1 species
UACGGAGGGUGCGAGCGUUGUCCGGAAUCACUGGGCGUAAAGGGUGCGUAGGCGGCCUAUUAAGUCAGGGGUGAAAGACGGUAGCUUAACUAUCGCAGUGCCCUUGAUACUGAUGGGCUUGAAUGUACUUGAGGUAGGCGGAAUGUGACAAGUAGCGGUGAAAUGCAUAGAUAUGUCACAGAACACCAAUUGCGAAGGCAGCUUACUAAAGUAUGAUUGACGCUGAGGCACGAAAGCGUGGGGAUCAAACAGG